rnacentral:rRNA from 1 species
CCUACGGGUGGCAGCAGUGGGGAAUAUUGCACAAUGGGCGCAAGCCUGAUGCAGCCAUGCCGCGUGUGUGAAGAAGGCCUUCGGGUUGUAAAGCACUUUCAGCGGGGAGGAAGGCGUUAAGGUUAAUAACCUUGGCGAUUGACGUUACCCGCAGAAGAAGCACCGGCUAACUCCGUGCCAGCAGCCGCGGUAAUACGGAGGGUGCAAGCGUUAAUCGGAAUUACUGGGCGUAAAGCGCACGCAGGCGGUCUGUCAAGUCGGAUGUGAAAUCCCCGGGCUCAACCUGGGAACUGCAUUCGAAACUGGCAGGCUAGAGUCGUGUAGAGGGGGGUAGAAUUCCAGGUGUAGCGGUGAAAUGCGUAGAGAUCUGGAGGAAUACCGGUGGCGAAGGCGGCCCCCUGGACAAAGACUGACGCUCAGGUGCGAAAGCGUGGGGAGCAAACAGGAUUAGAUACCCCGGUAGUC